rnacentral:tRNA from 1 species
GUUGUGGCUCAAGUGGUAGCGGCUCGCCUGGCAUGCGCGAGGCACUGGGUUCGAUCCUCAGCACCACA